UGACAUUGAACUUUGUAUGAAGGAUUACGGUUCGAUCUUCCGCAACUGCGAUCAGAAGGGGGUUGAAAUCACUUGAUAUUAGAAUUAAUCUCGAACCAAAUUAGACGGUCUAGUGACCAAAGCUGCAUUUAUAGAUAAGUUUGUUUGUGGCCAGAUGGAGGUAAUGAAUAGUGAUGAAUGCAAUUGUUUUCCUUCACACUUCAUAGUCUUGGGGUCGCUUUCUUAGAAACAAAAAUCAAAUUUAGCUUCAAAUCAAUAAGAAGAUCACUAUGACUCACUCACUCUCUAGUCUCUACUGCAAUCACACUCACAAUGGCCACAUUUUUUCUCCCAACCUGUCUUGGUUUCUUUGAAUUUCAAGCAUAUUCCAAAUCACACAAUAACACUCUCUUCCUAACCUUGUCCCCUUUGCCCUAC
rnacentral:lncRNA from 1 species